rnacentral:rRNA from 1 species
GGCUCCUACGGGGCGCAGCAGUGGGGAAUAUUGGGCAAUGGGCGCAAGCCUGACCCAGCAACGCCGCGUGAAGGAAGAAGGCUUUCGGGUUGUAAACUUCUUUUCUCAGGGACGAAGCAAGUGACGGUACCUGAGGAAUAAGCCACGGCUAACUACGUGCCAGCAGCCGCGGUAAUACGUAGGUGGCAAGCGUUAUCCGGAUUUACUGGGUGUAAAGGGCGUGUAGGCGGGACUGCAAGUCAGAUGUGAAAACCACGGGCUCAACCUGUGGCCUGCCUUUGAAACUGUAGU